UGAUCGCGUAGACCGCCCACGCCGGGGCCGCGUCGAUCCACGACGUCAGCAUGUCGGUCACGAAGUGCAUUGUGUGUUCAACCGCGCAGCGGUCAG
rnacentral:tRNA from 1 species